rnacentral:rRNA from 1 species
AUUGAACGCUGGCGGCAGGCCUAACACAUGCAAGUCGAGCGAGCGGCGGACGGGUGAGUAAUGCAUAGGAAUCUGCCUGGUAGUGGGGGAUAACGACCGGAAACGGUAGCUAAUACCGCAUACCAUCGGAUGUGCCCAGAUGGGAUUAGCUAGUAGGUGGGGUAAGGGCUCACCUAGGCGACGAUCCCUAGCUGGUCUGAGAGGAUGACCAGCCACACUGGAACUGAGAAACGGUCCAGACUCCUACGGGAGGCAGCAGUGGGGAAUAUUGCACAAUGGGCGCAAGCCUGAUGCAGCCAUGCCGCGUGUAUGAAGAAGGCCUUCGGGUUGUAAAGUACUUUCAGCGGGGAGGCGUUACCCGCAGAAGAAGCACCGGCUAACUCCGUGCCAGCAGCCGCGGUAAUAC